CACGAAGGGGGCUAGCGAUGUUCGGAAUCACUGGGCGCAAAGCGCACGCAGGCGGAUCGAUAAGUCGGGGGUGAAAGCCCGGGGCUCAACCUCGGAAUUGCCUUCGAUACUGUCGGUCUCGAGUCCGGGAGAGGUGAGUGGAAUUCCUAGUGUAGAGGUGAAAUUCGUAGAUAUUAGGAAGAACACCAGUGGCGAAGGCGGCUCACUGGCCCGGUACUGACGCUCAGGUGCGAAAGCGUGGGGAGCAAACAGG
rnacentral:rRNA from 1 species